ACUCUCUCCCUCGCAGCCGCUCUCCUCCUCGCAAGCUCACUCUCUCCAUCGCAGCUCUCUCCAUCGCAGCUGCCUCUCGCAGAUCUUCCUCUCUCCACCGCAACUCAAAAUCAAGAUCUGAAUGCCUUUGAUCAACUUGUUCUUGAAGGCUUCAACUCCCUUUCCAUCAGCAGCUGGGGUCUCCAUGAUCUUCAUGGUUCCAGACUGAUGCUUUCCAUGUUGCUUAACUGGACGUUGAGAGCAGUAUGAAUGGGCAGCCAAGACUCGGUCCAAGAGCUCUUGGGGGACAGGCUCACCCCUUCUUUGUUGUGGCGAGAUUCUUGCUAUAUGAACCAAUGUUUUCCACUUGUCUUGGGGGACAGGCUCACCCCUUAAUUUGUUUCUGUUUUUUCUCUUAUUCUUGCUGGGUUGAUCAUUUGCUGUACUAGAGUUUUGGUUAGUAGUUGCUGUUUUGAACAGUUUGUGGGGGAUUGGAUUAAUACCAAUCUUUUUUAGUUUUUUCUUGAUGUGGAUAUUUACAAACAGAUUUUUUGUAAAUUCUUGGACUCAGAAGAAUAAGAGACUAACAUAUCUAUUUUCCAAAU